CCUACGGGUGGCAGCAGUAGGGAAUCUUCCACAAUGGGCGAAAGCCUGAUGGAGCAACGCCGCGUGGGUGAAGAAGGUCUUCGGAUCGUAAAACCCUGUUGUUAGAGAAGCAAGUGCGUGAGAGUAACUGUUCACGUUUCGACGGUAUCUAACCAGAAAGCCACGGCUAACUACGUGCCAGCAGCCGCGGUCAUACGUAGGUGGCAAGCGUUAUCCGGUUUUAUUGGGCGUAACGGGAACGCCGGCGGUCUUUUAAGUCUGAUGGGAAAGCCUUCGGCUUAACCGGAGUAGUGCAUGUGAAACUGGGAGACUUGAGUGCAGAAGAGGAGAGUGGAACGCCAUGUGUAGCGGUGAAAUGCGUAGAUAUAUGGAAGAACACCAGUGGCGAAGGCGGCUCUCUGGUCUGUAACUGACGCUGAGGUUCGAAAGCGUGGGUAGCAAACAGGAUUAGAUACCCUGGUAGUC
rnacentral:rRNA from 1 species